AGGCUUUGAUCCUGGCUCAGGAUGAACGCUGGCGGCGUGCCUAACACAUGCAAGUCGAGCGAUUCUCUUUUGAGAAGAGCGGCGGACGGGUGAGUAACGCGUGGGUAACCUGCCCUGUACACACGGAUAACAUACCGAAAGGUAUGCUAAUACGGGAUAACAUAUUUUAAUGGCAUCAUCGAAAUAUCAAAGCUCUAACAGUACAAAAUGAACCCACGUCUGAUUAGCUAGUUGGUGAGGUAAUGGCUCACCAAGGCGACGAUCAGUAGCCGACCUGAGAGGGUGAUCGGCCACAUUGGAACUGAGACACGGUCCAAACUCCUACGGGAGGCAGCAGUGGGGAAUAUUGCACAAUGGGCGAAAGCCUGAUGCAGCAACGCCGCGUGAGCGAUGAAGGCCUUCGGGUCGUAAAGCUCUGUCCUCAAGGAAGAUAAUGACGGUACUUGAGGAGGAAGCCCCGGCUACAA
rnacentral:rRNA from 1 species